GCGCUAGGCUGGUAUACUAUCGGUAGUACGGAGGCCUCCGUGCUACCAAGUUGUUUUCAAUUAUGCGGAUUUUCAAAUCGACGAUCGGCUCCGUUAGAUUUGAUCUACACUAUUAAAAAUAUUUGGAAACUAAAUUUCAUAAUUUUUCGACAUCAUUUGGCUAGUAAUCAAAAUGUCUCAAAAUUAAUAAUUUUAAUAGUACAUGUGAUGCAUUUAUGAAUUUAACAGUGUAAAACAAUUCAAAUUUGAUGAAAUUUUUAUAGAAAAUUCUUUUCACUAUUUAGAGUAAGAUCAGUACUUUUGAUUUUAAAUUCAAAUCUUUUAUUAUCAUUUUUUAUGAGAUUUUUAUUUUCAGUCGUUCAUUUUUAGACUAUUCGAUUGAUAGGUAAAUGAUGCCGAAAAAUUAUGAAAUUUAAAUACUUUCAAUAGUGUAGAUCAAAUCUAACGGAGCCGAUCGUCGAAUUAGAAGCUAGAUCAUUGAAAACAACUUGGUAGCUUCCGAUAGUAUACCAACCUAGCGCGCGCUCUCUCUCUCUCUCUAUAUAUAUAUAUAUAUUUUUUUUUUAAAUGAUGUGCUUA
rnacentral:lncRNA from 1 species